rnacentral:rRNA from 1 species
CCUACGGGAGGCAGCAGUAGGGAAUAUUGCUCAAUGGGGGAAACCCUGAAGCAGCAACGCCGCGUGGAGGAUGAUGGUUUUCGGAUUGUAAACUCCUUUUGUUAGAGAAGAUAAUGACGGUAUCUAACGAAUAAGCACCGGCUAACUCCGUGCCAGCAGCCGCGGGAAUACGGCGGGUGCAAGCGUUACUCGGAAUCACUGGGCGUAAAGAGCGCGUAGGCGGGAUAGCAAGUCAGAUGUGAAAUCCUAUGGCUUAACCAUAGAACUGCAUUUGAAACUGUUAUUCUAGAGUAUGGGAGAGGUAGGUGGAAUUCUUGGUGUAGGGGUAAAAUCCGUAGAGAUCAAGAAGAAUACUCAUUGCGAAGGCGACCUGCUAGAACAUAACUGACGCUGAUGCGCGAAAGCGUGGGGAGCAAACAGGAUUAGAUACCUCAGUAGUC